GAUGAACGCUAGCGGCAGGCCUAAUACAUGCAAGUCGAACGGUGUCUUCGGACAUAGUGGCGCACGGGUGCGUAACACGUAUGCAACCUACCUUACAUUGGGGGAUAGCCUUUCGAAAGGGAGAUUAAUACCGCAUAAGACAGUAGCUGGGCAUCCAGCAGCUGUUAAAGAUUUAUCGAUGUAAGCUGGGCAUGCGUCCAAUUAGCUAGUUGGUGAGGUAACGGCUCACCAAGGCAAUGAUUGGUAGGGGAACUGAGAGGUCAAUCCCCCACACUGACACUGAGAUGCGGGCCAGACUCCUACGGGAGGCAGCAGUAGGGAAUAUUGGGCAAUGGACGCAAGUCUGACCCAGCCAUGCCGCGUGCAGGAUGAAGGCGUUAUGCGUUGUAAACUGCUUUUAUACAGGAAGAAACGACUCUUGCGAGAGGCAUUGACGGUACUGUAUGAAUAAGCACCGGCUAACUCCGUGCCAGCCGCCGCAGUAAGAC
rnacentral:rRNA from 1 species